rnacentral:rRNA from 1 species
CCUUGUACACACCGCCCGUCACACCAUGGGAGUCAGUUGCUCCAGAAGUGGCUUCCCCAACCCGCAAGGGAGGGUGGUCCCCAAGGAGUGGCUGGUAACUGGGGUG